CAGCAGGUGUGUGGGAGGUGACUCUCUCAGGAGGUUGAAUAGGGUUAGAAAGACGGCAUGACUAUAUCUCUAAUGUAGACCUAAAGUGCUUCCUAGAGCUAGGGACCAGGAUUCUAAAUGAGACCUGAGGGAAUGGAGCUGUUGUUGACAAGAGCUGUUAGACAAACAGGACAUGGAGGAGGUAGAAAACUCUGAGGCUUGACUUACACACCAGAGCUGCCCUGCCAGGUCAGGCUGAGGCCACUCUUCGUGGGACUUUCCCUGAGAUCACAGCCUUCCUGUGUUGACUUCCUCCUCUUCCCUCUCCUGCUUCACACACACCCCUACUGGUCCCCCUGGAAGCAUAUUUUAAAAUAAAUUACUUGUAUAUGAAUCAUGAGUCCUGGUCUUGAGUUCUACUUCUGAGGAAGCUGAUCUAAAUUUUCCCACUCUCAUUUGCAUUUCAUAUAAACCUUGUGAAGUGUUAUUAUCCCCCUUUUGCAGAUGAAGAAACUGAGGCUCAAAAGGUAAUAAUGUAUCUGUAGCUUGUGACUUAAAUCCAGCUAUGUCUGACUCCAAUGCACUGAAUUCCCCGAAAAACAAUCAGCAUUUACAUGAAGUUAGCCAGUGGUUUCAGAAUUUCAGGUUCUUUUUCAAGGUUAUGUAGACAGUUGUCUCCUGAACUGAAUCACAG
rnacentral:lncRNA from 1 species